rnacentral:rRNA from 1 species
GACGUAGGGGGCCAGCGUUGUUCGGAAUUACUGGGUGUAAAGGGUUCGUAGGCGGUGCGGCAAGUCGGGAGUGAAAUCUCUGGGCUUAACCCAGAGGCUGCUUCCGAAAACUGCUGUGCUUGAGUGUGGGAGAGGCGCGUGGAAUUGCAGGUGUAGCGGUGAAAUGCGUAGAUAUCUGCAGGAACACCCGUGGCGAAAAGCGGCGCGCUGGACCACUACUGACGUGAGGAACGAAAGCUAGGGGGAGCAAACAGG